rnacentral:rRNA from 1 species
GCUCAAAUUUGAAAGCUGGCUCCUUCGGGGUCCGCAUUGUAAUUUGCAGAGGAUGCUUCGGGAGCGGUCCCCAUCUAAGUGCCCUGGAACGGGACGUCAUAGAGGGUGAGAAUCCCGUAUGGGAUGGGGUGUCCGCGCCCGUGUGAAGCUCCUUCGACGAGUCGAGUUGUUUGGGAAUGCAGCUCUAAAUGGGUGGUAAAUUUCAUCUAAAGCUAAAUAUUGGCCGGAGACCGAUAGCGCACAAGUAGAGUGAUCGAAAGAUGAAAAGCACUUUGAAAAGAGAGUUAAAAAGCACGUGAAAUUGUUGAAAGGGAAGCGCUUGCGACCAGACUCGCUCGCGGGGUUCAGCCGGCAUUCGUGCCGGUGUACUUCCCCGCGAGCGGGCCAGCGUCGGUUUGGGCGGUCGGUCAAAGGCCUCUGGAAGGUAACGCCCCCUCGGGGGCGUCUUAUAGCCAGGGGUGCAAUGCGGCCUGCCCGGACCGAGGAACGCGCUUCGGCUCGGACGCUGGCAUAAUGGUCGUAAGCGACCCGUCU